GCGGAGCGGAAGUGACGCGCGGCUCAGCGGAAGUCCCUCCAGCCGCGGUGUUGUGCUGUGGGGAAGAGGGACGGGUUUGUAAACCCCGGAGCGAGGUCCUGCCUACCCGAGGCCGCUGCGGUGCGGAGACCCCGGGUGAAGCGCCGUCACCAUGUCUGACCAGGAGGCAAAACCUUCAACUGAGGACUUGGGGGAUAAGAAGGAAGGAGAAUACAUUAAGCUCAAAGUCAUUGGACAGGAUAGCAGUGAGAUUCACUUCAAAGUGAAAAUGACAACACAUCUCAAGAAACUCAAAGAAUCAUACUGUCAAAGACAGGGAGUUCCAAUGAAUUCACUCAGGUUUCUCUUUGAAGGUCAGAGAAUUGCUGAUAAUCACACUCCAAAAGAAGUCUUUUAUAAUAAACUAGAGGCCUGGUGCAUGAAAAUUCAUGCACUGGAGGGGGGGUCCCUCAGCCCAGCCUGCCCCCUCUCACAGUCUGGGAGCCCUCAAGGGCGGGAGGCGACCCGGCGAUCAGGCUGGGAAUGGAGGAAGAAGAUGUGAUUGAAGUUUAUCAGGAACAAACAGGGGGUCAUUCAACAGUUUAGAUAUUCUUUUUAUUUUCUUUUCUUUUCCCUCAAUCCUUUUUUAUUUUUAAAAAUAGUUCUUUUGUAAUGUGGUGUUAAAAUGGAAUUGAAAACUGACGCCCCCAUCUCUUUAAAACAUCUGAAAGAAAAAAAUGGCUGAAACAAGAUUUUCUUGCAUAAUACUGGAAAUUAUUAUUUGUAUAUGGAACAAAUAAAUUUUUUCUUCAGUACUGUACAGUGAUGAUCGUGACUUUGAAGCACUGAAAGUUACUGAAGUGCCUUCUGAAUUAAGGAUUUAAUUAAGACCACAAUACCUUCUUAAAUGCUCAGUGUUCUGUGUGUGUUUUUAAAACUUGAUAUUUCUGUAUGGUGCAUAUAUAUGACACUUACCUAGUCAUGUUGAAUAAAUGGGCACGUCAAAAAUUCUUAA